rnacentral:rRNA from 1 species
UACGUAGGGUGCAAGCGUUGUCCGGAAUUAUUUGGGCGUAAAGAGCUUGUAGGCGGUUUGUCGCGUCUGCUGUGAAAUUUCGGGGCUCAACCCCGAACUUGCAGUGGGUACGGGCAGACUAGAGUGUGGUAGGGGAGACUGGAAUUCCUGGUGUAGCGGUGAAAUGCGCAGAUAUCAGGAGGAACACCGAUGGCGAAGGCAGGUCUCUGGGCCAUAACUGACGCUGAGAAGCGAAAGCAUGGGGAGCGAACAGGA